GACGAACGCUGGCGGCGUGCCUAAUACAUGCAAGUAGAACGCAGUUGCGAACGGGUGAGUAACGCGUAGGUAACUGCCUCAUAGCGGGGGAUAACUAUUGGAAACGAUAGCUAAUACCGCCUACUGUGAGAUGGACCUGCGUUGUAUUAGCUAGUUGGAGAGGUGAAGGCUCACCAAGGCGACGAUACAUAGCCGGACUGAGAGGGUUGACGGGCACACUUGGAACGAGACCACGGCCAGACUCCCACGGGAGGCGGCAGAGGGGAAUAUUGGACAUGGGCCGAAGUCUGACCGAAGACAGCCGGGGGAGUGAAGGAGGGUUUUGGGGCGUAAAGCUCUGUUGUGAGGGGAGCGGUAACUGCCCAGAAAGGGCCGGCUAACUACGUGCCAGCCGCCGCGGUAAUAC
rnacentral:rRNA from 1 species